rnacentral:antisense_RNA from 1 species
GAUAACCAAGUAUUACUCUUGGAUCUAGUGUUGGGUUUACAAGUCUGACUUCACCACCACCUGGUGCCCAUGUGUCAUAUGCACCGCCAAUAAAACACCAGUUUACUGACCAUGCUAGUGCACCUACACCCAGAACAAUCAAAUGAUAUCCGAGGAUAUUAGUCAUCUGAUUUUUGUCUCUCCA